rnacentral:rRNA from 1 species
AGUGAACGCUGGCGGUAGGCCUAACACAUGCAAGUCGAACGGCAGCACAGUAAGAGCUUGCUCUUACGGGUGGCGAGUGGCGGACGGGUGAGGAAUACGUCGGAAUCUACUUUUUCGUGGGGGAUAACGUAGGGAAACUUACGCUAAUACCGCAUACGCCCUACGGGUGAAAGCAGGGGAUCUUCGGACCUUGCGCGAUUGAAUGAGCCGAUGUCGGAUUAGCUAGUUGGCGGGGUAAAGGCCCACCAAGGCGACGAUCCGUAGCUGGUCUGAGAGGAUGAUCAGCCACACUGGAACUGAGACACGGUCCAGACUCCUACGGGAGGCAGCAGUGGGGAAUAUUGGACAAUGGGCGCAAGCCUGAUCCAGCCAUACCGCGUGGGUGAAGAAGGCCUUCGGGUUGUAAAGCCCUUUUGUUGGGAAAGAAAAGCAGCAGGUUAAUAACCCGCUGUUCUGACGGUACCCAAAGAAUAAGCACCGGCUAACUUCGUG